rnacentral:rRNA from 1 species
AAGAGAGAGACAUGCGCGCAUAUCAAUAAGCGGAGGAAAAGAAACUAACAAGGAUUCCCCUCAGUAACGGCGAGUGAAGCGGGAAGAGCUCAAAUUUGAAAUCUUAAAGGGUUUCCCUUUACGAAUUGUAGUUUAAAGAAGUGUUUUCUGUUGAGGUUUUGGUAAAAGUUCUUUGGAAUAGGACAUCAUAGAGGGUGAGAAUCCCGUAUUUGACCUUUACUUUCAACUUCGUGAUACACUUUCAAAGAGUCGGAUUGUUUGGGAAUGCAGUCCAAAAUGGGUGGUAAAUUUCAUCUAAAGCUAAAUAUUGGCGAGAGACCGAUAGCGAACAAGUACCGUGAGGGAAAGAUGAAAAGAACUUUGAAAAGAGAGUUAAACAGUACGUGAAAUUGUCAAAAGGGAAGCGUUUGACACCAGUGUUGUUUUUCUGAAAAUCAAUUAAAGAACUGUUUAUGCUAAGCUGUUUAGACUUUAUCAGCUAACUGUUUAGUUUUGAGCUUUUCUUUAAUGCACUUUUCAGUUAACAAGUCAACAUCAAUUUCUUUUGCUGUAAAAAAGCUUGAGGAAGGUGGCUUGAGAUUCGUCUUAAGUGUUUAUAGCCUCUUGCCUAUGCAGUCGGAGAGAUUGAGGUCUGCAGCGUAGAUCCUUCGGGGCUAAAUGCAUUUGUGCUAAGUUAUAGCAUUUUAUAGACAACUUGUUGACUAUGAUUUGUCUUGUAGCUUACUCGCUUAUGUUAUUUUACCUACGCUUAGGAUGUUGAGCGCAUGUCUCUCUCU